GGUUAAGCGACUAAGCGUACACGGUGGAUGCCCUGGCAGUCAGAGGCGAUGAAGGACGUGCUAAUCUGCGAAAAGCGUCGGUAAGGUGAUAUGAACCGUUACAGCCGGCGAUGUCCGAAUGGGGAAACCCAGUGCAAUUCGUUGCACUAUCGUUAACUGAAUACAUAGGUUAACGAGGCGAACCGGGGGAACUGAAACAUCUAAGUACCCCGAGGAAAAAAAAUCAACCGA
rnacentral:rRNA from 1 species